UUCAAAUAUCUAUAUUGCAUAAUGAAGACAGGACCCAAAUCUAAACAUGAGAUGAAUUUAUGUUUCAUAUUCUCCUUAUAAACCUCUUACAAAUCAAGUGCCCUGAUAAAUUUGGAAUUCACAUGGUCAACCACUGAAUUUGAAGCAGAAGUGCUGCAUCCAGUCAUUAAUUCCACUUGAAAACCAUGAUUUACUUCAGAGUAUGCCCUGGAGUUUACACGUUGGGAAGAACCUAUCCAUGUUUCUUUUCUUAAGAAUUGUCAUUCAUCACUUUCUGAGUUCAAUACAAAAACAAUAAGGAUCCUAGGUUUAUGGAUUUCUCCUGGAUAGCCCUGUUGUGACCAAUGUUAUAUAGCCUCCUCCAGAUGAGGAAAGGAAAUCUGAAAGUCUCCGGUUGUUUUCCUGUGCAAACCAAUUUUAUUUUGGAUGUUUACGUUGCACUUUUGUCAUUCCUAAGUAUUUCCUGGGAUCUCCUUGCAUUAGUAAGGACUUCAUUCCAAUUCCUCAGAUCAGUUUAAAUGAAACCAGAAUUUUAUAAAAUGCAAUGUAUCUCA